CAUCACAUCACGGCCUCAUACGCCUUCCCGGUCGAGAAAUCAUCUCUUCAGCUCUGAAAUACAACCAUACCGAUCAAAUUAUCAUAGAUCACUAGAAUGACUUCAUUUGGGAAUGGCUUGUUCAUUAAGAUAUUUUAUUCAAUCAUCUGUCCUAAUCAUAUCUUUAACUUAUUUUGUAAGUAAAUCAGAAUAAUGCAGUAAUACCCCCUCCUCUCUCUCUCUCUCUGUGUGUGUGUGUGUGUCUUCUCUGAGCUCCUACUGACUUCUGAUCAACUUUUAAUUGAAUUUGACAGAGCGACAGAUGUCUUGAAGACAUUAGAGGAGAGAAAGCCCCAGCUCAGCACCACUCUGAAAGAAAAGAAACGCGCUGGGCUUUGUUGGAGCAAGAGCCGGUCUUUACCACCCCGGCACCCGGCCAGCCCUGAGGACUGUGAGGGCUCAUCACACCCGCCAUGCAGGCUGGCCUCUUCAUGGCCACGGAGCUGGACCCAGAGGCAUCGCCCCUUCCUCACCGAGGCGAAGCUGACUUGCGGCAACCGUCCCCGCUUGAUUUCAGUAAGGGUUGUGCUAAGGUGGGUUACUAGUUAGGUAACCGCAGGUUAAAACGGAUCUGAGAGCUAAAACUGGGUGCUGCUGCUCUGCGGAGUCAUAAUAGUUCAAUAUACAGUGUCCAAGUCUGGAUCUCACCAGCUAAAGAUGCCAUCAGUGCUUGGCCCCCCGCGCCUCAUCCUGCCGUUAUUUUGCUGAACUGCCCAUACUGCAGGUAGGAGGGCUGGUGGCCUUCGAAAUGGCAUUCAGUCAACUUUCCUGUACACCGAGGAGUUCUGCUGUUUGCUCAGACCUUCCUGAUGGUCACGUCCCAAGGAAUUACUCCUGUCAUACAGAGGUUUGUCAGUGCGAAAGAAGCUGAUGACCUUGAGGACAGAUUUUAAAAAAUGCCUGAAAGCUUUUGAAGCCCAGCACGUGUUGCGGGCAUAUUCUCCUAGAGCAUUUAGUGAAUUUUAAAAUCCUUGCUGAAGGCUAGUCCUGAGGAGUAGCAACCCGCGCUGUUGUGACGGAUGGGCAGGUCCCGAGCAGGAGUGUCAGCAGACUCCACCGAUGGAUUGCCAUGAGUCAGCCUUGGGAGCCUCCCCCUGCACAGACAGGAUUUUAGAAGAUCCGAAAGUGAUUUUAUCCAUAAGCGAAACUUGUGGCUUGCAGAUUCCCUUGCCCAGAUGAUGCUAUUGCUCACGUCUAAGAGCAGUCCUUCCGGAUCAGGGCUCACGAGCGCCAUCAGAUCUGGCCGGAGACAUGCGCGCUUCAGGUGCAAGGAUCUCCGCAAGCUUCCUGCACGUCCAGAGAUGCAUAUCCGUUGAUGAGGAGCGAAAUCCCGCGUGUCAGCAGGCUGACUGGAGAGCUUUUGCUAAGUAUAUGUGCAUUUAGCUUAGUUUCUGAACUAAAAGGAAAGGCAAGUGAGACUAAGAACAUAUGGCUUAAUGACAUAUUUGGAGAUGGUCAUUUGUUCUGUUUUCCACCUGAAUGAAUUUAAAGGCACAGCUGAAAUUAAAAUGUCAAAUCUCCAUUUGAGAUGUAAUCUAUUGUCGUAUGGGUGUCAUCGAAUCUGUUAAUAAUUAGGACCUGGCACCUCUGUUUCGUGCAGCCCCUAGUACAAAGUCACCGUGUUUAACUUACUUCACAGCAAUGCUGGAAAUAUGGGCACUGAAUUGUCGACACCAGACCUUUUAUAUAUAUUGAAGCAACUUUUUAAACAUUUUUCUUUAACUAAAUAUAUUUAACUAAAUAUAUCUUUAACUGAAUAUAUUUUCCUUUAAACAUAGUGUUAGCUCCGUGUUAGACACUACCUAUAUUUUCAUUGAUGUAGUAGAAUUAAAAAUAAACUAAAAUAUUUAAGGACA
rnacentral:lncRNA from 1 species